rnacentral:rRNA from 1 species
ACGAAAAAUAACGAUACGGGACUCAUCCGAGGCCCCGUAAUCGGAAUGAGUACACUCUAAACCCUUUAACGAGGAUCAAUUGGAGGGCAAGUCUGGUGCCAGCAGCCGCGGUAAUUCCAGCUCCAAUAGCGUAUAUUAAAGUUGUUGCGGUUAAAAAGCUCGUAGUCGAAUUUGUGUCCCGCGCCGCCGGUUCAUCGCUCGCGGUGUCAACUGGCGUGUCCGCGGGACGUCCUGCCGGUGGGCUUAGCCCCUGCGGGCGGCCCAAUCUCAAUCCCACCGCGGUGCUCUUCACUGAGUGUCGAGGUGGGCCGGCACGUUUACUUUGAACAAAUUAGAGUGCUUAAAGCAGGCUAAAACAUCGCCUGAAUACUGUGUGCAUGGAAUAAUGGAAUAGGACCUCGGUUCUAUUUUGUUGGUUUUCGGAACCCCGAGGUAAUGAUUAAUAGGAACGGAUGGGGGCAUUCGUAUUGCGACGUUAGAGGUGAAAUUCUUGGAUCGUCGCAAGACGGACAGAAGCGAAAGCAUUUGCCAAAAACGCUUUCAUUGAUCAAGAACGAAAGUUAGAGGUUCGAAGGCGAUCAGAUACCGCCCUAGUUCUAACCAUAAACGAUGCCAGCUAGCGAUCCGCCGACGUUCCUCCGAUGACUCGGCGGGCAGCUUCCGGGAAACCAAAGCUUUUGGGUUCCGGGGGAAGUAUGGUUGCAAAGCUGAAACUUAAAGGAAUUGACGGAAGGGCACCACCAGGAGUGGAGCCUGCGGCUUAAUUUGACUCAACACGGGAAACCUCACCAGGCCCGGAC